UGGGGUUGCGGGCGGGCGGGCAUCCGGCCCUGAGCAGGCCGGCGCGGGCGGGCGCACGUUCGACCCGGGCCAGUCCGGU
rnacentral:tRNA from 1 species